rnacentral:rRNA from 1 species
AGUAAUGUAUGGGGAUCUGCCUGAUGGAGGGGGGUAACUACUGGAAACGGUAGCUAAUACCGCAUAACGUCGCAAGACCAAAGAGGGGGACCUUAGGGCCUCUUGCCAUCGGAUGUGCCCAGAUGGGAUUAGCUAGUAGGUGGGGUAAUGGCUCACCUAGGCGACGAUCCCUAGCUGGUCUGAGAGGAUGAUCAGCCACACUGGGACUGAGACACGGCCCAG